rnacentral:rRNA from 1 species
UACGUAGGGUGCAAGCGUUGUCCGGAAUUAUUGGGCGUAAAGAGCGUGUAGGCGGCCCGAUUAGUCCGCUGUGAAAGUCCAGGGCUCAACCCUGGAAUGCCGGUGGAUACUGUCGGGCUAGAGUCCGGAAGGGGCGAGUGGAAUUCCUGGUGUAGCGGUGAAAUGCGCAGAUAUCAGGAGGAACACCGGUGGCGAAGGCGGAUCUCUGGGCCUUACCUGACGCUGAGGCGCGAAAGCUAGGGGAGCGAACAGG